rnacentral:rRNA from 1 species
UAAAAAUGUUAAAAUUGAAACUAAAUUAGUAUUAGUUAUGUUCUUUAAAUUUAAAGAUUUUGGCGGUAUUUUAGUCUAUUCAGAGGAACCUGUUCUAUAAUUGAUAGUCCACGAUUAACUUUACUUAAAUUUAAAAGUUUGUAUAUCGUUGUUUAUAGAAAAUUUUUUAAGAAAUAAAAUUUUUGAUAAAUUUAAUAUAAUUAUAAAUCAAAUCAAGGUGCAGCUUAUAUUUAAGAAGAAAUGGGUUACAAUAAAAUUAUUUAGAUGGAUUUAAAAUUUAAAAUUUUUAAUGAAGGUGGAUUUGACAGUAAUUUUAUUAAAUUUAAUAAAAUGAUUUUAGCUCUAAAAUAUGU